UAUUUCAAUGGAGCAGAUUGUCGGAGCUACACUUCUUCAAGUGUAUAUCAGUUACCUUCACUUGGUGCUGUGUGGUCAAGAAGCAGUGAUGCCACUUCACAACCUUCUUGUGCAUGCUUUAGGCCAGGAGUGCUGAAAACGAGGAGCACUUUGUUGUGGAGCAUCAGGCCAGGAGUAUGGGGUGGACCACAGGGAGA